UGGGGAAUAUUGCACAAUGGAGGGAACUCUGAUGCAGCAACGCCGCGUGCGGGAUGACGGCCUUCGGGUUGUAAACCGCUUUCAGCCAUGACGAAGCUUUUGUGACGGCAGUGGUAGAAGAAGCACCGGCUAACUACGUGCCAGCAGCCGCGGUGAUACGUAGGGUGCGAGCGUUGUCCGGAAUUAUUGGGCGUAAAGAGCUUGUAGGCGGUUUGUCGCGUCGAAAGUGUAAACUCAGUGCUUAACGCUGAGCCUGCUUUCGAUACGGGCUGACUAGAGGAGGGUAGGGGAGAAUGGAAUUCCCGGUGGAGCGGUGGAAUGCGCAGAUAUCGGGAGGAACACCAGUGGCGAAGGCGGUUCUCUGGACCUUUCCUGACGCUGAGAAGCGAAAGCGUGGGUAGCAAACAGG
rnacentral:rRNA from 1 species